rnacentral:ribozyme from 1 species
UUUUUUUUUUUUUUUUUUUUUUUUUUUUUUUUGAGAUUUGACAAAACCACCGCUGCAAGUCUGAAAA